AUCCUACUGACGAGUUCUAAAUAAGAUGAAAUGCGCAUCCUACAU
rnacentral:hammerhead_ribozyme from 1 species